CCCCGGUGCGUUGAUAUGUUGGACAAUGGACACAAUGGACAAUGGACAAUCUGCAACCUACCGGGAUUUAUUCAUCUCCUCAGGACGGUACUGCUCAUUAUUAGAACUGGCGGGGACAUAAGCAUUCGAAUGUUGUUGUCAACAUUGUCCCGAUAUAUAGGGAAUUACGAAUUGUGAAUUGAUCCCUAUAAAAGAAUCGAUUCACUUCAUAACUCCCUAAUCCCUUCAUAACAUUAUCAACUUAAUUUGACGCGUUGCUGUACUGUAUUAUUCGGGGACUAACUAGUGUGCAUUUGUGCGCUGUGGUGAUCUUUCAGAGACUGUACCGACUGGAAUUUAGCGACCACUGUCCGUUUUAGAGACCGUACGGUCGGCGGCGGGCGUCCCGAUCCUCGCCUGGGGCGGAGAGGGGAGCGCGCGUCCCCCUCCGCCGCAUUCCGUCCGUCCCAUUCACUGCUCGCUCGCGGUGUGCGGAGAGCCGACGGAACUGUCGAGUGUGUGCCGUGCGGUGUCGUCUGCCGUCUCUUCUUCCGACCUGAAGGAACGCAGGAUGCGAGGAUCGUCGGGCGACACCACCACUCGAGAUUCGUAGAUCGAUGGACGGAGCGGCAGCCGCGACGCGACGACGUGUGUCGUAAUGUGACGGGAUGUGACCCGGAAAUGGCUGUGUAUUUAUCCCAGAAAUACAUUUAUUCCGAA